GACGAACCGUACGAACGUUAUUCGGAAUUACUGGGCUUAAAGGGUGCGUAGGCUGUGCGGUAAGUUGGGCGUGAAAUACCUCAGCUUAACUGAGGAACUGCGUUCAAAACUACCGUGCUUGAGGGAGACAGAGGUAAGCGGAACUGAGGGUGGAGCGGUGAAAUGCGUUGAUAUCCUCAGGAACACCGGUGGCGAAAGCGGCUUACUGGGUCUCUUCUGACGCUGAUGCACGAAAGCUAGGGUAGCAAACGGG
rnacentral:rRNA from 1 species